AGGAACUGGUAUUUGAGCAAGUAACUGCAGUCAUAUAUGGAGGCUGAAGUUUCUGGAGGCUUUGUGUUAUAGAAGGAGAUGUGCACCUGUGCAAUUGAGGCUAAAGCAGUUCCUGUAGCAAGCUUCUCCAGUACAGAAGACUGGACGUCAUCCUACAGGAUUUGUGCCCUGUGAGACAAGCCAGAAAGCCUGUGCUGACACUGGUGCAGUGAGCACACUGCUUGUUUCCAUCAGAAGGUGAGGAUGCAGUGUGGGACUCCCAA